AAAUAUUUUUUUUUUGGAUAAAAUUGGAGCGAUACAAAGGCGAUUUGCAUGGUCCAUGCACAAUGAUGACAUGCAUAAAUAGAGUUGAAAGAUUUAA
rnacentral:snRNA from 1 species